AUUGAACGCUGGCGGCAGGCCUCACACAUGCAAGUCGAGCGGAGCGGCGAACGGGUGAGUAAUGCCUAGGAAUCUGCCUGGUAGUGGGGGAUAACGUCCGGAAACGGGCGCAAAUACAGUAUAAUAUCAGAUGAGCCUAGGUCGGCUUAGCUAGUUGGUGGGGUAAAGGCCUACCAAGGCUACGAUCCGUAACUGGUCUGAGAGGAUGAUCAGUCACACUGGAACUGAGACAAGGUCCAGACUCCUACGGGAGGCAGCAGUAGGGAAUAUUGGACAAUGGGCGAAAGCCUGAUCCAGCCAUGCCGCGUGUGUGAAGAAGGUUGUCGGAUUGUAAAGCACUUUCAGUUGGGAGGCGUUACCAACAGAAUAAGCACCGGCUAACUUCGUGCCAGCAGCCGCGGUAAUAC
rnacentral:rRNA from 1 species